UACGGAGGGGGCAAGCGUUGUUCGGAUUUACUGGGCGUAAAGGGAGCGUAGGCGGUUGGUCAAGUCCGGUGUGAAAGCUUUACCACUUAACGGAAAGAGGUCAUCGGAUACUGGCUGGCUAGAGUAGGGUAGAGGCAAGCGGAAUUCCUGGUGUAGCGGUGGAAUGUGUAGAUAUCAGGAAGAACAUCGGUGGCGAAGGCGGCUUGCUGGGCCCUUACUGACGCUGAGGCUCGAAAGCGUGGGGAGCAAACGGG
rnacentral:rRNA from 1 species